UACGUAGGGGGCUAGCGUUGUCCGGAAUCAUUGGGCGUAAAGCGCGUGUAGGCGGUCCGGUAAGUCCGCUGUGAAAGUCGGGGGCUCAACCCUCGAAUGCCGGUGGAUACUGUCGGGCUAGAGUGCGGAAGAGGCGAGUGGAAUUCCUGGUGUAGCGGUGAAAUGCGCAGAUAUCUGGAGGAACACCGGUGGCGAAGGCGGCAUCCUGGACCAAUAUUGACGCUGAGGAGCGAAAGCCAGGGGAGCAAACGGG
rnacentral:rRNA from 1 species